AUUGAACGCUGGCGGCAGGCCUAACACAUGCAAGUCGAACGAGUGGCGGACUGGUGAGUAAUGUCUGGGAAACUGCCUGAUGGAGGGGGAUAACUACUGGAAACGGUAGCUAAUACCGCAUACCAUCGGAUGUGCCCAGAUGGGAUUAGCUUGUGGGUGGGGUAACGGCUCACCAAGGCGACGAUCCCUAGCUGGUCUGAGAGGAUGACCAGACACACUGGAACUGAGACACGGUCCAGACUCCGAGGGGAGGCAGCAGUUGGGAAUAGUGCACAAUGGGCGAAAGCCUGAGACAGCCAUGCCGCGUGUAUGAAGAAGGCCUUCGGGUUGUAAAGUCCUUUCCGCGGGGAGGCGUUACCCGCAGAAGAAGCAACGGCUAACUCCGUGCCAGCAGCCGCGGUAAUAC
rnacentral:rRNA from 1 species